AUUGAACGCUGGCGGCAGGCCUAACACAUGCAAGUCGAACGAGUGGCGGACGGGUGAGUAAUGUCUGGGAAACUGCCCGAUGGAGGGGGAUAACUACUGGAAACGGUAGCUAAUACCGCAUACCAUCGGAUGUGCCCAGAUGGGAUUAGCUAGGAGGUGGGGUAACGGCUCACCUAGGCGACGAUCCCUAGCUGGUCUGAGAGGAUGACCAGCCACACGGGAACAAGGACACAGUCCGGACUCCUACGAGAUGCAGCAGUGGGGAAUAUUGCAAAAUGGGCGGAAGCCUGAUGCAGCCAUGCCGCGUGUAUGAAGAAGGCCUUCGGGUUGUAAAGUACUUUCAGCGAAGAGGCGUUACUCGCAGAAGAAGCACCGGCUAACUCCGUGCCAGCAGCCGCGGUAAUAC
rnacentral:rRNA from 1 species